UAAAAGUAAUUUAAAUCACAGAAAUAACUAUGAUAUUCUUCAAUAAACAAGCAUCUACAACUACAACAUGAUAUUGUAUUCAAUAUGACAACAUUCUUGUGAAAAAAUGACAAUAUUCAUAUUGCUACAUUAAGAAUGAAGAAAAUUGUGUUUCUUCAAAUUGAACAUCACCAUCCAAGUUCUAAGAGCAUGGUCUAAUUACACAGAAGGGAAAAACUUGUUUAGAUUGAAAGGAAGAGAGUAAAAUUCUUCACUCCUUGUAUCUGUCUUGAACGAACGGAACUUGUCCCACCAAUGCAUUCCUCUAUCUUUAC
rnacentral:lncRNA from 1 species